rnacentral:RNase_P_RNA from 1 species
AGCCGCGUAAUAAGCACCGAAAGGUCUAUUAUGAGGAAAGUCCGGGCUGCGCAGGGCAGGAUAACGGAUAACGUCCGCCGGAGGCGACUCCAGGAAAAGUGCAACAGAGAUAUACCGCCAUGCUUCGGCGUGGUAAGGGUGGAAAGGCGAGGUAAGAGCUCACCAGUCCGGCUGGUAACUGUCGGACUCUGUAAACUCUAUCCGCAGCAACACCGCAGAGGGACAUUGCGGAUUGGCCCGAUCCGUCCCGGGAAGGUGGCUUGAGGCGCACGGUAACGUGUGUCCCAGAUAGAUGGCUGUUCGAAUGACAGAACCCGGCUUAUUCUU